GAACAAAGAAUUGUUUGAUCAUUUGAUAAAUGAGGAAAGAAUUAUUCACUAGUAGAAAAAAGUCAAUAGGAAGCCCCAAAUGAGAAGCGGUUUUUAAAAUCUGCUUUCUAUUCCCUACAAAAACCCGCCCAAAAAAAACACCAGGAUUGGAAUGGGAAGCGGUUUGGGUUGAACCGCUCCCAAAAAUAUAAUGGGAAGCGGUUCAAACCGCUGCCCUUUAUGUUAUUAUAUUUUUCUCACCCCUCUCAUAGCCUCGUUCACUCUCCUCAUACCUCACUUCCUCAAUUCUCUCUCCCUUUCCUAGUCCCCCCACUCCUUCUCCUCAAAGAUGAAGGCAACCAUCGCCGCAGCCGCAACCACAUCCACAACCACCGCCGCUCACAAAUUAAAUUCUCUCUUUCAUCUUCCUCCUCAUUCACUGAUGGUCACGGUGGUCGCGAGCAUAACGACGGUGCGAUUGGUUUUGAUUGGUGUUCAUGGUAUGAGCUUCUUUAAAUUUUCCCCUUUAAAUUUCAAAUUUUAGGUUCCUUUGCAUAAUUACUAGUUCAAAUCUCUGAUUUUUUUCGAUUUCUAGGGUUUCGAUUUGUUUCUAGGGUGGUGGUUGUUUCAGGGAGAGAAUGGGUGGAUGGUUGUGCUUUCGGGGAGCGGGAAGGUGGGUACUGGUGCUUUUGGAGAGAGGGUGGGUUUUAGUGGUGGUUAACAGGGUGAAUGUUGGUGGUGGCAGGGUGGUGUUGAGAAAGGUGUUGGUGUUGGUUGAAUGACCUCUAAUUUGGCUAUUUUUGGUAGGGAUUUAGGUUUAGAACUAGACAACUUUGCAGUCACUUGCGCGAUUGUGUUUAUGUUUCUAAACAGAGAAGUUCACUGUAAAGUUAGGAACUUAGGAUCAAUAUUUGUUAUUCAAUCUUAAUGCAGUGAUGCAAUCCCUAUCUAUUUACAGAAUCUUCCUCUGCAAUAGUUUAUUUACCAUAAAUUCAUUGAAUCUCUAUUGGAUGGUUACUGAAAUGUGACUUAUAUUAAUUCUUAACAAGAAUGGGAAAUGCUUACUGUCAGAAGAAAAGAAUGAGAAAUGGUCAUUGUAAUUUCUUGUUUACAUACGGGGUCUACCGUCUAGUUCCAGUUUUAGCAUUUUGAUGAUUGAUACACUUAGUUCGAACCGUGUGGUGCUGGUGCUAGUUGUUCAUGCCAAGCAUUUGGCUUGUUUGGGUGCUGCUCUAUUCUGUUUCAAUUUAUUCAAUUUUCUGCUGUUCCUGUUCUGUUUCAAUUUAUUUAAUUGGCUACUCUUCCUGUUCUGUUUCAAUUUAUUCAUAUGCCUGCUGCUUCGAAUGUGGGCAAAACCGACCCUGCUGCUGCUUCAAAUGAGGGAAAAUGGAUCCUCCUCCGGUGACGAUUUUUGAACCCUUAUCUUUAUUGAUUUUUUUACCAUAAUUGUUAAUUGUUGGGGAUUGUGAAAUUGAGUCUCUGGUUAUAUGUCAAUUUUUUGGUUGCAUUGAGAAGGAGGUUUGUAUGUACUUGAUUUGGUUGCCAAUAACAUGCUUUGGUUGCCAUCCUGUUAUUUUUUUUUUUUGGUAGGGAGGCUGCACAGCCCAGCCCCUGCCCACCCAGGCAGGCUGCACAGCCAUCACACCAGCUAGCCAGGCUCCACAGCCAGCACACCAGCUAGCCAGGCUCCACAGCCAGCACACCAGCCAGACAAGUCUUUGAGGGGCCAUGUCCUAAACAUGAUUAUUUGCAGGUUCUAUCUUUUGUGGUGUGGACGUGUGGGUGGUUUCUGCUAUGUAGCUGUAGCUGCUGUUGGUGCUGGUUGUUCGUGCUGCUGGUUAUAAGUACUUAUAUAUGAUUUGUAUAUUUUAACAAUAAUUAUAAGUAGUACGUAGUAUUUGUAAAUAUCAAUUUAAUAUAUUUGGUGUAAUUACAUAUUAUUGGUAAUAAAAUUUAUUAAUGAUGAUA